rnacentral:rRNA from 1 species
GUCCGCGGGAAUUCGAUUCAGGCCUAACACAUGCAAGUCGAGGGGCAGCAUAAAACAAGCUUGCUUGUUUGGUGGAGACCAACGCACGGGUGCGUAACGCGUAUGCAACUUACCCUGUAUUGGGGGAUAGCCCGGAGAAAUUCGGAUUAAGACCCCAUAGUACUUUUGAAUGGCAUCAUUUAAAAGUUAAAGGUUACGGUACAGGAUGGGCAUGCGUCCCAUUAGCUAGAUGGUAAGGUAACGGCUUACCAUGGCAACGAUGGGUAGGGGGCCUGAGAGGGUGGUCCCCCACACUGGUACUGAGACACGGACCAGACUCCUACGGGAGGCAGCAGUGAGGAAUAUUGGUCAAUGGGCGCAAGCCUGAACAAAGCAUCCCGCGUGCAGGAAGCCGGUCCUAUGGAUUUAAAGGGCUUUUAUUUGGGAAUAAACCUAUUUACGUGUAGAUAGCUGAAG